UACGGGAGAUGCAAGCGUUAUCCGGAAUUAUUGGGCGUAAAGCGUUCGUAGGCGGCUAAUCAAGUCUGCUGUUAAAUACCGCAGCUUAACUGCGGAAUGGCAAUGGAAACUGUAAGACUAGAGUGUGGUAGGGGCAGAGGGAAUUCCCGGUGUAGCGGUGAAAUGCGUAGAUAUCGGGAAGAACACCAGUGGCGAAGGCGCUCUGCUGGGCCAUAACUGACGCUCAUGGACGAAAGCCAGGGGAGCGAAAGGGAUUAGAUACCCCUGUAGUCCUGGCCGUAAACGAUGAACACUAGGUGUCGGGGGAAUCGACCCCCUCGGUGUCGUAGCCAACGCGUUAAGUGUUCCGCCUGGGGAGUACGCACGCAAGUGUGAAACUCAAAGGAAUUGACGGGGGCCCGCACAAGCGGUGGAGUAUGUGGUUUAAUUCGAUGCAACGCGAAGAACCUUACCAGGGUUUGACAUCCUGCGAAUCUUUUGGAAACAGAAGAGUGCCUUCGGGAACGCAGUGACAGGUGGUGCAUGGCUGUCGUCAGCUCGUGUCGUGAGAUGUUGGGUUAAGUCCCGCAACGAGCGCAACCCACGUCGUUAGUUGCCAGCAUUUAGUUGGGCACUCUAGCGAGACCGCCGGUGAUAAACCGGAGGAAGGUGUGGAUGACGUCAAGUCAUCAUGCCCCUUACAUCCUGGGCUACACACGUACUACAAUGCUACGGACAAAGGGCAGCAAACUCGCGAGAGCUAGCAAAUCCCAUAAACCGUGGCUCAGUUCAGAUCGUAGGCUGCAACUCGCCUACGUGAAGGAGGAAUCGCUAGUAAUCGCAGGUCAGCAUACUGCGGUGAAUACGUUCCCGGGCCU
rnacentral:rRNA from 1 species